CCAGGCAACAAGCAAGCUUUGUCCGGGUUUCACUGUGCACCCCGUAUCUGAUUCCUCUGCUUGCAGUUCUGAGCUUUCAGAGCUCAGGCUUCUCUUCUCCUGUGGGGGAGGUGGCUGCUCCCAGCCUGCCCCCCAGAAAGGGGUUGGUGCAAAGAGGCAGGGCUCCUCCCCAGGCCUCCCCCAACAUCCACCCCUUCUGGGCUCAGCCUGGUGGUCUUUAAGAGAGAUCCUUGCUGACUCCCUUGCCUGUCACACCUGCUGGGAAACUCGGUCUAGCUCAGUGUCCCAGCCAUGCUGCCGGUCCCAGCACUGCUUCUGGUUUUCCUGGCUCCUGUCACACAGGUAUCUUCCAACAUGGAAGAGGACAAGUUAUCAGUCAUGAGGGCCACUGGGUCAUCUGUUGUAAUCGAUUGUGAUCUUACACACAACUAUAUCCACUGGUACAAAUUCCAGGAGGGAGCUGUACCCCGACGCCUUCUCUACUAUGAUGUCUACAACUCAAAGGUUGUGUUGGAACCAGGAACCAGCCAAGGGAAAUACCACGUUUACAAAGGCACAGGGAAGGGCUACACAAUUGUAAUCUCAAGCUUGCAAGAAAGUGAUUCUGGCACGUACUACUGUGCCUUCUGGGAGAAGCACAUUGGUUUAGACUUCCUUUACUCUGCACUGGAAAUUUUGCUUGUGGCUGCCAAAACAGCCGUGAUACACAGGCGACACCAACGCCUGUCUCACUUCCUGACCCCAGUUCUUUUUACUCUGAAUGAAGAGAAAUGCUGAGCUCAACGCCCAGCCCCAGUCACUGCUACCUCAACAGCCUCCCCUCGACGGCCAUUGUUUGUUAUGGUCAAAGAUUUUUCCUAAAAGUGGGUCUCCAUCUUAAGGCCUCAGGCAAGCAGCUGGUAGGCAGCACAUUCUUUUAACUUUCCUAGGAGCUGGUGGAGUCUAUUCAACCUUUUCUUGAGAACAGACAGGGCACCUCGGAUUGAUCUAUUAAGGGGAAUAUUUAGGAGAACAAAAUGAAAGGUUAUUUUUAUUGAAUCACUUAUCUGAUCAUUUUCCAGAGAAGAUAGCUAGGAAUGAAGCAUCUUUAUUAUUCAGGGUUAUUAAAUAUGAGCAAAGAUGGAGUGAAAACUUGGAUUCCUGAAGCCCAAGCUAGUAUCUGACCUAUCUUUUGGACAAAUUGAUAUUUUUCUCAUAUAACCAACCAGGACAUGGAAUGUAGGAAAAGGGGGAUUGGUAUAGUUAUGCCAAUCAUAGUAUUCUACUUACACCUUCUGUUGAAGUUCAGUCCACAGCCAGAACUGUUCUGUAUUAAACAAGCAAAGCCAGAAGUUCUUUUCACUCCCACCCCCAAUAUUGACAGGACCAAGUUCCAAACUGGAAUGAGACUUAGAAACUUUUUUUUCAAUAAUUCAAGUUAAAGAACACUUCAGGUGAACAAUUAGACAAUGAGUGGUAUCUACAUCAACAGAAAAGUCUUGUAAGAAAGGGUGUGACUUUCUUAUUGGGCUAGGUUUAAUGACAUAAAAUUAAUACUGAAGUACAGAAAUGCCAUAUUCAUAUGUAUGUUGUCUCUUGUGUAUGCGUGUGGGCUAAGUUGUUUCAGUUGUGUCUGACUCUGUGAGAUCCUAUGGACUGUAGCCUGCCAGGGAUAGUCUGUACUGUCCAUUGGGUUCUCCAGGCAAGAAUACUGGAGUGGGUUGCAUGCCCUCCUCUAGGGGAUCUUUCCAACCCACGGAUCGAACCUGGGUCUCCUGCAUCUUCUGCAUUCCAGGCAGAUUCUUCACCACUGAGUCACCAGGGAAGCCCCUCUUGUAUAUCAUAUCCUCCAAAUUUCUAUCAGAGCAGUGUUUCUGAAACUGUGGUCCAUGGACCACCUGAGUCAGAAGCAUUGGGUUGGAAUAAAAGUCCCCAUUCUGGAUGGCACCCAGUAUCGUGAACACAUAUCUUGGAAUGAAGACUGAAAAUGUGCAUUUUUCAAUAAGUUCCAUAGCUGAUUCUUACUCAAAUUGAUUUAUAUCAAUUUAUAUCAACUGCUGUGCUAGCAGUAACAGAUAAAGUGACAUGCCUCCCUCUGAAAUGGGUCAUUUCCUGGCCUCACACAGGAGUGAACACAGUUUUCAUGGGCCAGCCUAGACGUCCUUCCUUUCUUGUUGCAUCUUGGAUGCUGCUGCUCUCCCAGGUCGUCACAUUUCUCCAUGAGAAUCCCACAACCACAGGUCAAAGUUUCUGGUCCUUCUCAUUCCUGUGACUGCACGCAAGAAGGAAUUGGAUAGUAAAUGUACUGACUUUAACUUGGGCCUCAGUACCAGGGACCAUGCACUAUUUUGGAGCUUUAGAAAAGAUCGAAACAAAAACUUCUCGUCAUUUAUAUUUUUCCAAUGUUGUUUACACUUUGUUCUGCACAUUUAUUUCUUUGAUCCACUUUGAAUUUAAAUUUUGCAUAAAAUUGGACCUGCACAAAUGGAGAGACAUGACAUAUUCAUGAAGGAAAAGAUCAAUGUCAUAAAGAUGUUGAUCUUUCUUAAAUUCAUGUAUGUAAACUGACUAUAAUUCCUAUCAGAAUUAAGAAAAGAUUUUAUUUUUGUUCUAUGAUGUAGAACAAAAUGUUUGAAACAUAGAGAAUUUCUAUUUAUUGGAUAAAGCAUGAUUAAGUAAUGAAACAACCCAAGUAUUUAUGUAAAUAAUGACAGGAAUAGCACUAUGCUGUUCAUUAUGUGGGGCUUCCCUGGUGACUCAGAUGGUAAAGAAACCACCUACCAAUGCAGGAGAUGUGGGUUCGAUCCUUGGGUUAGGAAGAUCCCCUGGAGAAGGAAAUGGUGACUCACUCCAGUAUUCUUGCCUGGAGAAUUCCAUGGAUGGAGGAGCCUGGUAGGCUACAGUCCAUGGGAUCUGAAAGAGUUGGAUAUGACUUAAUGACUAAGCAACAACAACAUUAUCAUUUCCUGGGAGUCAUCUUGACACAAUAAAUGCUGGUUUUGGUGUGAGAUGACUCUAAAUUACAAAAUGUAGUUUUAGGUUCCGAAUUUAAACAGUGGACUUCAUAAGUUAGUGUGGCUUUUGUUUCUAAUAACCAGGGAAGCAUGAUAUCUCUUUGCUUCUAGAAUUUUGGUUGUGCUAGUAGCUAAUACAUGAACUGACCCUUACCAAAAAUUUCUUAUGUGGAAGAUAUUGUGCUUUAUCGUGCAUGCAUUUUCUAUUUAAUCCUCAUUACUCACCUUAUGGUGUUAACAAUAUUUCUCCCUGCCCCUACUUUGUAGAUGUGUUUUUGUAAGUUGUUAAAAUUAAGUUCCUUCAAAUGAAGCCACACAGCUCUAAUCUGGGGAUUCAACCCAGACUACCCAAAUCAAUGGUUCACAUAAUUAAUUCUCUAUCCCUCCCCUAGGAUACAGACAUAGAGCAAGAAUACCAAAGCCAAGGCCCUAAGACAUGACAGCCUAAUGGUCAGGAGU